AGUGAACGCUGGCGGUAGGCCUAACACAUGCAAGUCGAACGGCAGCACAGUAAGAGCUUGCUCUUACGGGUGGCGAGUGGCGGACGGGUGAGGAAUACAUCGGAAUCUACUUUUUCGUGGGGGAUAACGUAGGGAAACUUACGCUAAUACCGCAAACGACCUACGGGUGAAAGCAGGGGAUCUUCGGACCUUGCGCGAUUGAAUGAGCCGAUGUCGGAUUAGCUAGUUGGCGGGGUAAAGGCCCACCAAGGCGACGAUCCGUAGCUGGUCUGAGAGGAUGAUCAGCCACACUGGAACUGAGACACGGUCCAGACUCCUACGGGAGGCAGCAGUGGGGAAUAUUGGACAAUGGGCGCAAGCCUGAUCCAGCCAUACCGCGUGGGUGAAGAAGGCCUUCGGGUUGUAAAGCCCUUUUGUUGGGAAAGAAAAGCAGCAGGUUAAUACCCCGCUGUUCUGACGGUACCCAAAGAAUAAGCAUCGGCUAACUUCGUG
rnacentral:rRNA from 1 species